rnacentral:tRNA from 7 species
GCGCCCGUAGUUCAACUGGAUAGAGCACUGGCCUCCGAAGCCAGUCGUCCCGGUUCAAAUCCGGGCGGGCGCG